rnacentral:rRNA from 1 species
CCUACGGGAGGCAGCAGUAAGGAAUAUUGGUCAAUGGACGCAAGUCUGAACCAGCCAUGCCGCGUGAAGGAUGAAGGCCCUCUGGGUUGUAAACUUCUUUUACAGGGGACGAAAAAAGGGAAUUCUUUCUCACUUGACGGUACCCUGGGAAUAAGCACCGGCUAACUCCGUGCCAGCAGCCGCGGUAAUACGGAGGGUGCAAGCGUUAUCCGGAUUCACUGGGUUUAAAGGGUGCGUAGGUGGGCAUUUAAGUCAGUGGUGAAAUCUCCGGGCUUAACCCGGAAACUGCCAUUGAUACUAUUUGUCUUGAAUAUUGUGGAGGUAAGCGGAAUAUGUCAUGUAGCGGUGAAAUGCUUAGAUAUGACAUAGAACACCCAUUGCGAAGGCAGCUUACUACGCAAAUAUUGACACUGAGGCACGAAAGCGUGGGGAUCGAAACAGGAUUAGAUACCCUGGUAGUCCACGCCUAAACGAUGGAUACUCGACAUCANCGAUACACAGUUGGUGUCUGNGACGAGANAUAUAUACCACCAGGAGACGACGACGAGUAGAACGUACAAGUAGUAGUAGACGACGAGAGAGCGACGACGACGACGAGAGGAGGAGG